rnacentral:lncRNA from 1 species
AAGAUCAGUGUGGAAAUGGAUGUGGACGCGGUGCUGCUGCCUGAGAUUAGCAGGAAGCAAUUCUUUUCCCAUUUGGAGAGACCCCGGCUUUGUUGGGCCAGGAGAUGGUUUUGCAGCAGCAGAAGACUAUGAACUGGGCUUUGGGAGAUAGGAUCUCUGGUUGUAUUCUGGCUAUCCACACUCUGAAAGAGGACCGUGACAGAGAAUUUGAGUAUCCUACCAAUAUACCUACAAAAGGAUGAAAGAAGAUUUGGAGUCAAGGGAAAACAAGGGCAAUAAAAUAGAAGCUUACCACCUGCUCUCAUACAGUUGCUAGAAGAGGACUGCAUAUUUGGUUCUAAGUUUCUGGAAGAUAAAGCCAAAAUAGAAACACAACUCAUUAUAAAAUUUUGGUGUAUCCAUAAAAUAAAAACAAAUGACCUGUUUGAGAAAACUCUUUCUGAGUUUGAGCUCUAAAAGGAACUUCUCUAUGGAAUCCUUAGAAUAUGAGAAGGCUGUGAUAUAGGGGAGAAACCCCUUGACAUUCCU